AGGCAGGCCUGAUGAACAAAGCGCAGGGUCCCUGUGCAGCGACACGGUGUGAUGAGGGGACUUUCAUCAUCGCCCUCACAGUGACAGAUCCUGACAGGAAGGACAGCAAGACUUUCUGUCUGUUGAUUGUGUGAGCACUCCUCUACCUGAAUAUUUCAGAAUAUGCGAGAUCAUGAAUUUGAAGAAAAACUCACCACAGUUUCAUGAAUCAAUUAGGUGCAAUGACCUGUUCUGAAAACCAGAAACUACGGCCUAUACUGAAUUGGUGGUAAUGCUGCCUAAACGACCAUAUUAACACUGGUUGUUCAAAGUGCAU